rnacentral:tRNA from 1 species
GGAGGGGUGGCAGAGCGGUUCAAUGCACCGGUCUUGAAAACCGGCGGGCGNAAGCCCUCGUGGGUUCGAAUCCCACCCCCUCCG